GCUUAAUACAAUGAUGUUGUCAUUAGUCAUUGACCUGUGUUGUAUUGUUAACUCUACCCUAAUGGAAACCAUCCACCCAAACAUCAACCCAGGUGUUGGCAAAGGAGGAGUGGGACGUUUAGACAAUGUGCAAUAACAUCUCCUUGACAGCAGUUGAUGGAUGGUGUUAGUUUUAAUUAUUAUGAAAGGCUCCACUGCACAAAUGAGUCAAUUUUGCCUCUUUAUACCAACAUUUUCUAUUGAUUUAUGGG